CUAUAUUGUUGUAUGGUCGAUUAAAGCUUGUGUAAUAUGAUUUUUUUAAAAAUAAAUAUGAAUUCAUAACUACAUAAAAGUCAUGGCCCGUACAAAUGUUUCUUACAAAAAAACACAAUUAUCAUCAUCGGGGUCAACCUUCAAGGUCACAUGAAGGUCACAAUUUUAAGAAGGCACACUACCUCAUGAUGAUACAUCCACAUGCCAAAGAUGUAAGACCUAGGUCAAGGGCGAAGAAGUUAUGGCCUACAUGGUUGUGUUUUUCAUGAAAAAAAUAAUAUAAAGUUGACCUUGAGGUCACAUUUGAAGGUCACAAUAAGGUCAUCAUGAUGCAAGACACUUAACCCCGUGAUGAUACAUCCACAUGCCAAAUAUUUAAAGCCUAGUUCAGAAGACGAAAAACAUAUGGCCAUUAUGUACUUUUUGAAUAGAUUUUGCCCUUAUUUAAUGAACCAAUUUGAGGGUGGGGGAUACUUUAAACUUAAAUACCAAAAAAUCUAACGGUUAAAUUUUUAAAAAAUUUUGCAAGAACAACCGACUAGUAUAGCACUCCAAAUGCUUAGUAUUUUGAAAAAAUUAAACGACACAUUUUUUUUCCAAAAAAAAAAAUUCUUCUUCAAAUACUAGAAGCACAGCAUUCACUUUUCGGGGCUGAUUCUGACACCCCCUAUUAAAUUUCGGGCAAAAUUUUAAAUCUAGAAUAAAAAACUUACAAGAAAAGGGUAUCAGUGAACUAAUAUUUACCUCAGCUAUCAUUAUUAGCUAUGCUAUUGUCAAUUUAGGAUUAAGUUUUAAAAAUUUUAACAUAUUUAACCCCAUACCCA
rnacentral:lncRNA from 1 species